GCCUCCUUAGUUCAACGGAUAGAAUAGAGGUUUCCUAAACCUUUGAUGAGGGUUCGAUUCCCCCAGGAGGUA
rnacentral:tRNA from 1 species